GAUGAACGCUGGCGGCGUGCCUAAUACAUGCAAGUCGAGCGAACAGACGAGGAGCUUGCUCCUCUGACGUUAGCGGCGGACGGGUGAGUAACACGUGGAUAACCUACCUAUAAGACUGGGAUAACUUCGGGAAACCGGAGCUAAUACCGGAUAAUAUAUUGAACCGCAUGGUUCAAUAGUGAAAGACGGUUUUGCUGGCACUUAUAGAUGAAUCCGCGCCGCAUUAGCUAGUUGGUAAGGUAACGGCUUACCAAGGCAACGAUGCGUAGCCGACCUGAGAGGGUGAUCGGCCACACUGGAACUGAGACACGGUCCAGACUCCUACGGGAGGCAGCAGUAGGGAAUCUUCCGCAAUGGGCGAAAGCCUGACGGAGCAACGCCGCGUGAGUGAUGAAGGUCUUCGGAUCGUAAAACUCUGUUAUUAGGGAAGAACAAAUGUGUAAGUAACUAUGCACGUCUUGACGGUACCUAAUCAGAAAGCCACGGCUAACUACGUG
rnacentral:rRNA from 1 species